UACGUAGGGCGCAAGCGUUGUCCGGAAUUAUUGGGCGUAAAGAGCUCGUAGGCGGUCUGUUACGUCCGCUGUGAAAACCCAGGGCUUAACCCUGGGCUUGCAGUGGAUACGGGUAGACUAGAGGCAGGUAGGGGAGAAUGGAAUUCCCGGUGUAGCGGUGAAAUGCGCAGAUAUCGGGAGGAACAUCAGUGGCGAAGGCGGUCUGCUGGGCCGUUGCUGACGCUGAGGCGCGACAGCGUGGGGAGCAAACAGG
rnacentral:rRNA from 1 species